AGUGAACGCUGGCGGUAGGCCUAACACAUGCAAGUCGAACGGCAGCACAGGAGAGCUUGCUCUCUGGGUGGCGAGUGGCGGACGGGUGAGGAAUACAUCGGAAUCUACUCUGUCGUGGGGGAUAACGUAGGGAAACUUACGCUAAUACCGCAUACGACCUACGGGUGAAAGCAGGGGAUCUUCGGACCUUGCGCGAUUGAAUGAGCCGAUGUCGGAUUAGCUAGUUGGCGGGGUAAAGGCCAACCAAGGCGACGAUCCGUAGCUGGUCUGAGAGGAUGAUAAGCCAAACUGGAACUGAGACACGGCCCAGACUCCUACGGGAGGCAGCAGUGGGGAAUAUUGGACAAUGGGCGCAAGCCUGAUCCAGCCAUACCGCGUGGGUGAAGAAGGCCUUCGGGUUGUAAAGCCCUUUUGUUGGGAAAGAAAUCCAGCUGGCUAAUACCCGGUUGGGAUGACGGUACCCAAAGAAUAAGCACCGGCUAACUUCGUGCCAGCCGCCGCAGUAA
rnacentral:rRNA from 1 species